rnacentral:rRNA from 1 species
AGCCUGGAUCCCAGCGCCGCGGUAAUACUGAGGGUGCAAGCGUUAUCGGGAAUUACUGGGCGUAAAGCGCACGCAGGCGGUUUGUUAAGUCAGAUGUGAAAUCCCCGGGCUCAACCUGGGAACUGCAUCUGAUACUGGCAAGCUUGAGUCUCGUAGAGGGGGGUAGAAUUCCAGGUGUAGCGGUGAAAUGCGUAGAGAUCUGGAGGAAUACCGGUGGCGAAGGCGGCCCCCUGGACGAAGACUGACGCUCAGGUGCGAAAGCGUGGGGAGCAAACAGGAUUAGAUACCCUGGUAGUCCACGCCGUAAACGAUGUCGACUUGGAGGUUGUGCCCUUGAGGCGUGGCUUCCGGAGCUAACGCGUUAAGUCGACCGCCUGGGGAGCAUGGCCGUUUUAG